UGCCACACGAGGGCUCUAUUUACCACAGACUUUGGUAAACAGAACUAAAAGCGAUGUUUGGCUCGGAGGUUCGUUUCAUGUGGACUUCUGUGUGACUUAGAGAACUGAAAAUAGGUGGAGACCAAAAAAAAAAUAGCCUUGAAUAGAAUCUCAUUUUGUCGCUCCACUUGGGGACAUCACUUGGAAAAUGGCACAUUUCUAUUUGCGGGGUCUCUUAGUUCUGUUGAUAAUCAUAUCAGAACGCGCAGGUGAGUAGGUGACUAAAUUAUGACUUUCCCAGAUUCAAAAUGUAUUUUACUUUUUAUGGUCAGUAUUCCAAAGACUUAUUAACGCCAAACCAACUGUGACUGUUAUAAAUGUAGUAUACAUACACUUAUUUAACAACGGAUAUAAUAAUAAUCAUCUUCUGGUAACAUCUAGAAUGAACUGCCUUAAGCUAUUUAAAAUCCUAUAAAUAAUGUACUGUUGGUGUUAUUCUAAAGGGAUUCUAAUAUUUACCUCUCCAUCGUUUUAAUGACAUCUCAGCUGAGACACUGACUGCUUCAAAAGAAGAAGAUGUACUUCUUUCCUGCUUUGAUUCAAAUGUGAUGGAUCCAAGUGGCCGCGACAGAUUCAAGUUGAUUAAGUAUGCUACAAUUUCCAGUUCGAUGGAGGUUAUACUUGCCAGGCCUACAACAACCAACCACGCGGAUGCUAAAAGAGUAAAAUUGGAGGUUAAUGGAACUAAAGUGUGUGUUUUUCUGAAAAAAAUCCAACCAUCCGAUGAGGGACUGUAUGGAUGUGAAAUCUGCAAAGGGUGGGACUGUACUUUGAAAAACGUUUCUUUAAAGGUGAAAGAUUGCAAAACCCUUCCAGCAGUAAAGGCAAAUGCUAGCGCGCCUGUUAACCUGUCCUGCCCGGUGGACAACACGGACCCCAAAAUAUAUCCCCAAAAUAUAUCCUGGUUUAAGGUGAAAUCAGGCAACGCUGUAUCUCUCAACUCUGAAGGGGUUGAAAUGAAUGGGACAUCCUUAGCUUUCCUGUCUGUGCAACCCAGUGACAGCGGUUGGUUUGGAUGUAAGUACGUGCUCGGACAAACUCAGCGCUGCUAUGAAUUUAAUCUACGGGUCCAAGACAAAAAGGAGGUUGUGGCCACAGCAGUUCCAGGACUGGAAAUCAGUGAGUCUGUUAGGCAGACAAAGACAAAGAUGGAAACUGAGACGGAGACGGCGACGGAAAGGAACAGUGUAGCAUUUCUGCCUGUUGUUGUGACUUCAGUCAUUAUUGGCACUGCCAUAAUGGCUGCACUGAUAGGACUCUUCGUUUACUGCAGCCGUAACACCCAAAGAGUUACGCAGCAGACCCUCAGGCACACGCCACCAGGUUUGAUUCUUCUCUUUAACCUCGACGAGCAAUGCCGUGUAGCGCCUCAUCGGAAUAACUUUGGGUUCUCUCUGGUUGUUAAGGUACUCUUAUGCAUGCGUAUGAGGUUGUGA
ensembl:lncRNA